rnacentral:tRNA from 1 species
UAUUUUAUAAUUUAAAUUAAAAUAUUAAUUUUGGAGAUUAAUAAUA